GACGAACGCUGGCGGCGUGCCUAAUACAUGCAAGUCGAGCGGACAGAUGGGAGCUUGCUCCCUGAUGUUAGCGGCGGACGGGUGAGUAACACGUGGGUAACCUGCCUGUAAGACUGGGAUAACUCCGGGAAACCGGGGCUAAUACCGGAUGGUUGUUUGAACCGCAUGGUUCAAACAUAAAAGGUGGCUUCGGCUACCACUUACAGAUGGACCCGCGGCGCAUUAGCUAGUUGGUGAGGUAAUGGCUCACCAAGGCAACGAUGCGUAGCCGACCUGAGAGGGUGAUCGGCCACACUGGGACUGAGACACGGCCCAGACUCCUACGGGAGGCAGCAGUAGGGAAUCUUCCGCAAUGGACGAAAGUCUGACGGAGCAACGCCGCGUGAGUGAUGAAGGUUUUCGGAUCGUAAAGCUCUGUUGUUAGGGAAGAACAAGUAC
rnacentral:rRNA from 1 species